AGGGAUGGAGCUUAAAUGGUAGAGCUCUCGCUUUGCAUGCGAGAGGUACAGGCUUCAAUACCUUGCAUCUCCA
rnacentral:tRNA from 1 species